rnacentral:rRNA from 1 species
CGGCGAAAGUCGGACUAAUACCGCAUAAAACAGGGGUUCCACAUGGAAAUAUUUGUUAAAGAAUUAUCGCUGAUAGAUGGGCAUGCGUUCCAUUAGAUAGUUGGUGAGGUAACGGCUCACCAAGUCCACGAUGGAUAGGGGUUCUGAGAGGAAGGUCCCCCACACUGGUACUGAGACACGGACCAGACUCCUACGGGAGGCAGCAGUGAGGAAUAUUGGUCAAUGGGCGAGAGCCUGAACCAGCCAAGUCGCGUGAAGGAUGAAGGAUCUAUGGUUUGUAAACUUCUUUUAUAUGGGAAUAAAGUGAGGAACGUGUUCCUUUUUGUAUGUACCAUAUGAAUAAGCAUCGGCUAACUCCGUGCCAGCAGCCGCGGUAAUACGGAGGAUGCGAGCGUUAUCCGGAUUUAUUGGGUUUAAAGGGUGCGUAGGUGGUUAAUUAAGUCAGCGGUGAAAGUUUGUGGCUCAACCAUAAAAUUGCCGUUGAAACUGGUUGACUUGAGUAUAUUUGAGGUAGNCGGAAUGCGUGGUGUAGCGUGAAAUGCACUACAUAUCACGCAGACUCCGAUUGCGAAGCAGGCUUACUAAACUAUAA